GAUUUCAGUCUGUAAGCAGAAAUAAAUUGAGAGCAUUAAUAAAAUAACCAAGUAAACAGAAAUAAUAAAGCCAACAGAGAAACGAAUCGGAUCCAAGUUCAAAGCUUUUGGGGCACAGUUUAAAAAGUAAAAAAAAAAGUAAAGUGCGAAAUGACUCAAAUGGGCUUCCUUAUGGUGGUGCUGUGUUUUGCACUCCUCGCUUUCUGUUCCGGACAAGGUAUCACAGAAAAUCCUUAUGACCGAAAUUGUAACAAAAAUAUAUAUUGUUUGUUUGAAGAUUCUUAAAAAAACAUCCCGUGCAGCCAUCCUAUAGAAGGUCGACAGAAGCCAGCAUGGAUGCCCUGCACACCUUAACUCAUCUUUUAUUUAGCGUUAUUGAUAGUUUUAACUUUGGUUAGUUUUAAUAAUUCGUGGCAGAUAAAUUGGGUACUAUGAAUUUCCAAAUUAUUUAAGCUUUUUGUUUUUUUUUUUUAAUGUCACAGAGCACUAGUUUGUUUUGGGAGUACUAUAUUGAAAUAUAAACCAUGCAAUAAAUAAAAUGACUAUGAUUAAAACCCGUUUUUUUUGGUUUGACUAGGAACUUAAAAG